AUCAGCUUCAGCAUGUGGCAAGCAUCGAGGAUUACAUGAACUCUCCAGGAAGAAUCAGAAGGGUGCUGAAACCAUGGCCUGAUGUCGGGGCUUUUCAUGUUUGCACCAAGGUCUUGAAACAUGGCUGUUGAUCAGAAAGUAUGCACAUGGCACUUUCCAG